UACGAAGGGGGCUAGCGUUGUUCGGAACCACUGGGCGUAAAGGGCGCGUAGGCGGUGUGUCAAGUCAGGCGUGAAAGCCCCGGGCUCAACCUGGGAACCGCGCUUGAGACUGGCACGCUCGAGUUCGGGAGAGGAUGGUGGAAUUCCCAGUGUAGAGGUGAAAUUCGUAGAUAUUGGGAAGAACACCGAUGGCGAAGGCAGCCAUCUGGACCGACACUGACGCUGAGGCGCGAAAGCGUGGGGAGCAAACAGG
rnacentral:rRNA from 1 species